rnacentral:rRNA from 1 species
GCCUACGGGGCGCAGCAGUGAGGAAUAUUGGUCAAUGGGCGAGAGCCUGAACCAGCCAAGUCGCGUGAAGGAUGACGGCCCUACGGGUUGUAAACUUCUUUUGUCAGGGAGCAAUUGGGUCCACGCGUGGGCUUAGCGAGAGUACCUGAAGAAAAAGCAUCGGCUAACUCCGUGCCAGCAGCCGCGGUAAUACGGAGGAUGCGAGCGUUAUCCGGAUUUAUUGGGUUUAAAGGGUGCGUAGGCGGAGCAUCAAGUCAGCGGUAAAAAUCCGGGGCUCAACCCCGUCGCGCCGUUGAAACUGAUGU